CUCAAUCAAUCAUGACCCUCUCAUGUGAAACCCUUAGCAUUGUGAGACAGAAACUGUGCACCUGAGAAGCCUGGAUUUUAAGACGCUAGUCUGCCGAUGCUUCCAGCUGAUUAAAGCCACUCCCUUCACUAUCUUGGUGUCUGAGGGAUUUUGUCUGCAGCUCGUCCUGCUACAUUUCUUGGUUCCCUGACUGGGAAGAGAGGUGACUGACAGACAGCUGAGGCAGCCCUCUAGGCGGCUUAUGCCUGACCUGUGGAACAUCCCUGCAGGGGACUCCGGCCAGCCUGAAUGACACAAUUCAUAGAGAGCUCCUGGGUAGGCAAUUGCCCCAGUGAAGUGCCUCACCAGAGCAGCAUGUAGCAGGCCCCCAUGGAGGAUUAACACAGUGGCUGAACACCAAGAAGGAACUGGCACUUGGAGUCUGGAUAUCUGAAACUUGAUGUGUUGAGGCUUCUGGUACACCAUGAACUGAUAUGAACUAAAGGAUUGGAUUCAUGGAAGCAAGCCCCUGGACUUGGGCAGGAGGGACCUGAGUGUCUAUUCUACCUGCAGAGCCACUUGGAUCCCCACUAAUGUUUACACACAUGAAGCUCAUGGAGCAAGCUCAGUUCUAUCAUUUGGCAAAAAGAGAAGGAUUCAAAUUCAUAAGCGAGUGACAUCCAGCCCUUUCUGGAAGGAAUAACAAUUUUCAAGGCCACCACCAAAGAAAAGGAAGAUGUCAUAAGCAUCAGUGUUUUGCUUACCAAAAGAGGGAGGGCACAACAUGGGUUGACCUAGCAUCUCUGCUUCCAUAUAACCCAACUUACAGAACAGACUUCUGUGAAUGUCCCGACCAAUAGUCCUUCAUCUUCUGCCUCAAGAAAAUCUUUUUUCUUCUGUCAAGGUUAGUUUUUCUCCAUAGUGCAGCAUAUUGGUGUAGUUUCAUAUUAUCUUUGAAAACAUUGGUUUCCAAACAUCUGUUUUCAGAAAUGAGAACCACAUGGACCUCUUGUAGAAGCCAAUCCCGUCAUCAAUCUCAUGUGGCUGACGCCAGUAACUUCAAAUGCCUGAACUUUUCCAUGUCCAUCCUGUAGCAAAGAACUGGGCCUGUUCUUCUAGCCAGGCAGCUGAACAGCUGUUUCUCAUCCCACCUGUAUAGUGUUUACAUUUACCUCUAGUCUUGAUCUGUGGAGUGACAGUCAAGCUGAUACCUCAGCCUGAGAAGGUGAAGUCAUAUGGUAGUACUUCCUCAGAAAGAUCUGUGGCACUGUUAAAGAUAAUGUCGAAGACGACUGAUUAGAGGUUAGCAAUCUAACUCUCAACCCCUAAGGCUGAAGGAGAGGAAUAGAGCCAACAUGGUAAGUCAGUCUUGGGUGGAUAUGAAUUUCCUUCACAGCCUGCAAUGACUGUUUUUUUGUUAUCCUAAGUAAAUAUAUUCACUCCUCAUCUUUAUCCAAAUAAUGCAGUUUGCAAAAGAGACAUUGACCUUAGCAAGUAAAAACAAAUAAAGAGCUCAGCAAGUAUAGUCAUUUCAAGGACAAAAUGUAUUAUGUUUUGUCUUUUAGAGAGACUGCCUGUCUUCCCUGUGGCAGUAACCUUAAGUCUCAACUCAUCUGAUUUAAGGGAACAGAAUACAGUGAUGUGAAAAUGUAUGCCCACCUAAUAUGAUGGGAACUCCACUUAGCAAAGUGGGAAGUCACUAUAUCUAGCUAUUCUUGAGUGUUAGAGUGGCUCCUCUCAGUAUUAGACCUUCCAAUUUACUAAGAAAAUUAAUAUGUUAUUUCUGUCUCCACUAUGAUAGGCUUCGGCAGUGUAGUGGUCUCUUUUCUAAAGGGAAGAAUAUUCUAUCAGGGAACAGAAAAAAUGACUUCCUUGAGCUAGAAGUUGAAUCUUUCACUUGGCCUUUUUGGGGUUCGUAUAUCAUUGAAUUAACUGGCAAAAAAAGGGAGUUACUGUAUUUGCUAGGAAGAUUGCUCCUAACUUAUAAGGAUAAAUUGGUUUGCUACUAUACAGUGGAAGUAAGAAGUAUUAUGUCUAGAAAGCAGAAGAUCCUACUCCUACUUAUACACUAACAUAUACUAAAACUAUUCUAAAAUUUAAAAUGUAUUAAAAACUUAUAUAUAACUUGUCAUGAACCAUUGAACUUAGUGAUAUCUGAGGCCUAUAUUUUGCUAAUGCCCCAUUAAUAUUAUAUAACUGACUUUCAUUCCACAGUCAAAAAGGAAUUUAAAUUUCUAAAUAGCCAAUAUUAUUUUACUCUCAGUCAGUUACUAUGUCUAAUUUACCAUAUGGGGUGUUUCAGGGCAUUUGGAAUUUUGAUCCUCUCUUUGAGACUACAUCUGAUAAGGGCAUUCUAGAGAAUACCUUGAAUUUGUUAUUGACACUAUUUUGAUGAUAGUGUAACAGCAGUCUUCUUGAUAUCUGGAUAUCAAAAUGAG
rnacentral:lncRNA from 10 species